UGCUGGUGUAGCUCAGUUGGGAGAGCAGUGGUUUUGUAGUCCAAAGGUCAUGGGUUCAAGUCCCUUCACCAGCACCAA
rnacentral:tRNA from 1 species